UCCGGUUUGUCACCGGCAGUCUCAUUAGAGUGCCCUUUCGUAGCAACUAAUGACAAGGGUUGCGCUCGUUGCGGGACUUAACCCAACAUCUCACGACACGAGCUGACGACAGCCAUGCAGCACCUGUGUGCGGAUUCUCUUUCGAGCACUCCCCGAUCUCUCGAGGAUUUCCGCCAUGUCAAGGGUAGGUAAGGUUUUUCGCGUUGCAUCGAAUUAAUCCACAUCAUCCACCGCUUGUGCGGGUCCCCGUCAAUUCCUUUGAGUUUUAAUCUUGCGACCGUACUCCCCAGGCGGAUCACUUCACGCGUUAGCUGCGUUACUAAGGGAUUUAACUCCCCCAACAACUAGUUGACAUAGUUUAGGGCGUGGACUAC
rnacentral:misc_RNA from 1 species